UGAGAAUAUUGGGCUGGAUUUGUAAGAUGUUGAGUUGAAUUGUAUUAUGAAUAAAACAAUGUGUUAAACGGCCAGAUGUAGCUCAUCAUCAGUUGGAGCUGAUUUCAGAAGAGGUGUUAGAGUCUGCUAGUCCAAAAGAGAAUCUGAUCCAAACACCAAAGGGAGCCAUGAGAUAAAUGGAAGGCCAGAUUCUCUUCUGCAUUCUAGCCUCUUUGCGUGGAUCUGGCUGAUGAUCUUUUCUGCAAAGAAGCUGGAAAGCUGUCAGAUCUCCCCAACUGACACGGUUCCAGUCAUAUCCCAACUGGGUAGCUGACUCCUA